AGACUGACAAUUGGCUUUGGGAUAUAUUUUUCAACAACUACUAUUUUGACUAAAGCCAAUCGAUAUAGUAUCGAAUACUCAUCUUUGACUUGUGGUCAUCGAACUCCUUGAUUUUAAGAAUUUUAAUAAAUGGGUUAGUCAGGUUCUCCUUCUCAUCGAUCUUCUGAAGGUCAAAGUCACCUCGAUCCAUGAUCUCUCGGAUA
rnacentral:lncRNA from 1 species